UACAGAGGGGGCAAGCGUUAUUCGGAAUUAUUGGGCGUGAAGGGCGCGUAGGCGGCUUUGCAAGUGACGGGUGAAAUCCCUCGGCUUAACCGAGGAACUGCCUGUCAAACUGCAUGGCUUGAGACCGGGAGAGGUGAGUGGAAUUCCCAGUGUAGCGGUGAAAAUGCGUAGAUAUUGGGAGGAACACCAGUGGCGAAGGCGGCUCACUGGACCG
rnacentral:rRNA from 1 species